GACGUAGGGCGCGAGCGUUGUCCGGAUUUAUUGGGCGUAAAGAGCUCGUAGGCGGUUCGGCAAGUCGAAUGUGAAAUCUCCACGCUCAACGUGGAGGGGUCAUUCGAUACUGCCGUGACUCGAGUCCGGUAGGGGAGUGUGGAAUUCCCGGUGUAGCGGUGAAAUGCGCAGAGAUCGGGAGGAACACCCGUAGCGAAGGCGGCACUCUGGGCCGGUACUGACGCUGAGGAGCGAAAGCGUGGGGAGCAAACAGG
rnacentral:rRNA from 1 species